rnacentral:rRNA from 1 species
GACGAACCGUGCGAACGUUGUUCGGAAUCACUGGGCUUAAAGGGCGCGUAGGCGGCUCAUCAAGUCGGGGGUGAAAUACUUCAGCUUAACUGGAGAAGUGCCUUCGAUACUGGUGGGCUUGAGGGAGGUAGGGGUCUGUGGAACUUCUGGUGGAGCGGUGAAAUGCGUUGAUAUCAGGAGGAACACCGGUGGCGAAGGCGGGGUCUCUGGGCCGAUAUUGACGCUGAGGAGCGAAAGCGUGGGUAGCAAACAGG